rnacentral:rRNA from 1 species
UACAGGGGGGUGCAAACGUUUGCUCGGAAUCAUUGGGCGUAAAGCGCACGUAGGCGGUCUGUUAUGUCGGAUGUGAAAGCCCUCGGCUCAACUGAGGAAGUGCAUCCGAAACUGGCAGGCUAGAGUACUAAAGAGGGUCGCGGAAUUCCCGGUGUAGAGGUGAAAUUCGUAGAUAUCGGGAGGAACACCGGUGGCGAAGGCGGCGACCUGGGUAGAUACUGACGCUGAGGUGCGAAAAGCGUGGGGAGCAAACAGG